UAUCUAGAUCUACUCUAGUUUAGAGAAGAGAGGAGAGCUCUCAUCUCUAAACCCUAGCUUUUGCUCUGUCUAUGAAUAAUGAAUAAUGAUCAAGGGGUGCCUCCUCCAGGGGCUAGGGGGUCUGGUUUUAUAGUCCCCUCAAGUGAACCUGGGCCGUCGGAUCAAACCGACAUUGAUUGAACGGUUAUUCUUGAUCCUUUAGGUCGGUGGAGCAUAAUCCGCGAGAUUGAGCGUGAUUGGCCGAAAAAGGUGGGCGGGCGCCCUGUCCCUGACUCCGUUCGGUCUCCGCUUCCUUCCCGUGGCUUCUGAAGUCUUCUAGAUGUAAGAUAAUUGCGCGGCACGUUGAUAUCUCUAUGUAAUCCCGACGUGUGGGCCUUUCUUCCUUAUUUCCUGAUAACCCCCUGAAGAAAUAGACAAACACCAAAACUCGUGGAAUUCUGUCAGAUAAAACCCUAAGUCUUGAUGUUGAUUUCAUUUGCAUCCUUUUCUUUGUUUAUUUGAUAGUUAAAUUUGAUACUUAAGGACCGUCAACAAACUCCCCCAAGCUUACCUCUUGCUCGUCCCUGAGUAAGGAUAGACUCAGCUAUGGAUCAUAAGUUGUUGCAAUAUCUUUAAAAAUUGACGGUACACAUGCUUUUAAAUGAGGUCUCAUCUCUGAGUUAGAGUAAACUGUCAAGACUUAAAACUUACUUACUUUACCUUUCACCAUGGGACUUGUAACCGUCACUUCUGUCUUGAGUGGUUAAAAGAUAGAACAGUCCCGUCAAGUGCCAUGUCUCUUAUUCUUGAUCAGCUAUAGCUCUGGAGUUUUUGCAGAUUUUCAAAUAAAACUCAGAGAUUCCUUUGUAUGACUCUCUCAUAUCUCUCUUUUGUGGUAUUUCUGGAUCCUUACCAAGGCAGUGAUGGUAUAUGCCUUCUCUCAAAAUAUGUGGUAUUUGUGGUAUAAGGCAUAGUGACAUUGCCUUCUCUCUCACCCUACUCUAAUAAGGCUUUAAUAUCUGGAGCUCAUAGGUGGGAGAUAAAGUAUACAUACUUACAAGACAUUUAUUGUAUAGUCAAACCAUGGAUCCAAAGAAACAAAUCAAUAAGCCAAAUCAAGAUGUGCAUGUGUGGCGAAUGAAUGGUGUAUAGUGAUGAUGGUGAUAACAAUGGUGAAAGUCUAAUUCUACUUUUGCUCUUAUGAGGGGAUACAUACCUUCCUUGCUUUUUGAAACUUUAUGAGGAGAAUGAGAUGCUCUUCUUUUUCUUUCCUCUGAGGUGGGUAUCUUGUACCCCUAAUUCUACUGUCGGACACUUGUCCAUUUUUACCUCUCGUCUCACUUUUUUUUUCUUUUGAGGUUCCGGGCACUUGCCUCUUUUUAUUUCCUCGUUUAUUAUUAUUUUUUUCUUUUCUUCUCCUUUCUUUUUUUUUCAGAGCACUCAUCUCCUGAAAUAAUGUAGCAAGUGGUAGUAACCAAAAUAACUGGAGCAUUUAUUUCACAGGGAAUAACAGGGAUAGGAAAAUGUUUUUGGCUAUUCUCUCCCGGAUUAGGAGUAGAAUGAUUUUGGGUGAAACUGGAGAUGGAAAUGGAUGGAUAUAUGUGGAUGGUACUUCCGGAGUAGAAGUAGCAUAUAUGAGUGAACGUGCAAGUGAAUCUUGAUUUAACCACAUGACAAGCUCCUAAGGGUCUACACAGCUUGACCACACUCAAUGCUCAUAAGCAGUAAAUAAUAAAUGUGUGGCUCAAAGUCUAGCAAGCAUGUAUAUAUGGCUGUGGUAGGAAUUUAAACUCUCAUCAUACAGGAAUUCAUCAUGCAACAUUUUAAAGAUUUUUAAAGAUAAAAUUCUCCAGAAUUCUAGCAUCUCUUGGAGCAGAUAAACAGCAGCUCAACCUUCCCAUAUCUUAUCCGUUAACAACUUAGAUUUCAGAUCAAGUUUUCAUCCCACAAGUUUAGAUCUAGAGCAAGCUUUAUAUUAUAACAGUUAUGUCUAAACUUGAGAGAGAACUUUAAAUUUGCAAAUUAGGUAGAGCAACUAUUCAUCAUAUCCAUGCUAGAGUUUUAUUAUUAAGAUUCAUAGCAAACUUUAUUUAUUUAUUUAUUUAUUUAUUUAUUUAGCAAACUAAGAAAAGAUAUAUAUAUAUAUAUAUAUAAGCAUAAAAUCUUUAUUUGGUUUUUCAUAGUUUAUGUAUUUUAAUAUUCUAAUAUAAUAUAAGUAUAAAGAUAGGUAGAAAUACUUAGCGAGAUAAAUAGGGGUGCUCUCCCUCAAGCUGAAUUUUGACGUAAUUUCUCUUGAUGUAGCUAGCAGGUGGCAGAGGUGUAUUUGAAAGUCAGCAGCAUUCUGACAGCGAUUAGAAUGUCCUCCAUCUGCUAGUCUUCUUGAUUCUUAAAUUCUGUGGAGCUCAAAUAGACAACAAAGCUUGUGGAACUAAUUAGGUGUUAGCAUAAAUAUCUAGCCUUCAUCACGUUGAGCUUCCUCAAUAAAUAUUACUCCCUGUUUUUAUAUUUUUAUUUUAUAAAGUAAAAAAGAAAUAUUUAUUUUAUUUUUAUGCCACCAUAGUAAAGGUACUUAUGGGUUUUAUGCCACUCGUAUACUCACAUGGGGCUUAGUAUAUAUUUUUUUUAACAUUUUUAUUUUCUUUUCAAGAUAGCAUGAUUAACUAAUAAUCUAUUUAAGGCAAGUAAAUAAUUAAAGGAAAAGGGAAUGCAGAAAGGAUAAAUAUGGAUAACUACCAAUCUUACCUUUCGGCGAGGGUUCAAUGUUUUAAGUCUUCUUGACAAGACUUCUCACCGUGUUCAUUCUUCAGGUGCGUCAUUUGAUUCACUGCACCUUUUAAUACGGUGUCACCCAUGUUCUUCGUUUGCCCAGCAGUUCGAAGUGAGGUGUUAGCAGUAUCUUGCUCAGUGUGUUUGUGCUCGUAGUGUACCUACUCAUAGAGACAAGGCAGAGAUCAAGUGUAUGGGCCCUGUUGGUGGAAAACACCAACAGAACCAAAAGUGUAUUUGUUCUUCUCUAACCUUAAGCAUAGUGAGCAAGACAAAGUUGAUGGAUGAUAAGUUCAUGAGUGUAGCACUUAUAACAUUUGUCAGAUCAGAUCGCUCAACCUUAUGGAAAGAUAAUCUAUCUAUGUAUAUGUCUUUUUCUUUAUAUCUCUCAAUGAUUGAAUGUGUAACAUUUUAGCUUAUAUGAUUAGGAGUGUGGGAUCAUGGAGGUAGUACUAAGAACAAGGAUUAAAGGACUAAACAUGUUGAAUCAGUUGGGUUGGUUAAUCUAGAGUUGUAAAUCAUACACAUUUGUCUCUUUUAUUUAUAUGAAUGCCAGAACCAAGGAGAAGCUUAUAAAAGUGAUAGUCAAGUACCUUAAGAUGUUACCUUGCUUGAUGAGUGAUGGUACAGUAUCAUCUUGUGGAAGCUUUCCUUUCUUAGCGGUUGUGCAUCGUGUUUGUGGCACCCUCCAUGGAUCAUCUCUCUAUGAUGAAUGAGCUAUGUCCUUCUUGUGCAAAUUGUUAAACUUCAUGUGUCACUCUCUUCAUCUCUGAUGUGAGUUUAUCUCAGGACUUCCCAAAUCGAUAUUGAAAGUUUUUCUGCAGGGGUUAGUCCGACAAAAUAUACCAAUAUCUACUCAAGCAGUUUUUUUUUAGUUCAAUAACCAAACUAGACUCCAUGUCUAAUCAGAUUAAGGAAGGCUAUUUAACCUAAGCACCAUGCUUAAUUUAAAUGCCAAUGGAAGUAUGGCGAGUACUUCCAAACCAACACUUGCUAGUAAAUAGACAAAGGUAGCAUGACAGCAUUUAUAGAGAUCUACUCAAGUGGAGAUGAAGUAGUGUGAUUAGUAUUUAACAAAUUGAGCAUGUCUCGACCAGCAUAGCAACAUGGCAAAGGAUGUUUUUAUGUAAAGUACUCCCCCAAGCUUGAAUUUUGCAAAAUUCAAGUUUGGAUGAAUUUAAUUCAAUGUUGUAUGAUGAUUGGUUGGACAUACCUUGUGCUUGUCAUUCAUCCGAUCUUCUUGCUCCAAUCCUAGAAAGGUUAGUGACAAGAAUACCCGAAGGAAUAUUUUUUUACAAUUAUCCUUAUAUGCUCAAUACGCAAGGUAAUGUUGCAAAUAAUUAAAAGCUCAUGUUAUGAUCUGAUCAAUGCUUAUUUUAAGACACUAAGCUUGUCCUUGGGAAACCAUCAGUUUAUGUUGGCGAAGUGGUUUCCCCUCCGACGCCAACCUAUAUCUAGAUCAACUCAACGAGAUCUGCAAUAUUUAUUAUAGACAUAUGCAUCGACAACCGCCCUUUUAAAGUUUUUUAUAAAUAGAAAGGAAGAGGGGGUUGGAGAUCUCAAGUGUGGUGAUGUCGGAGAGACCAGUAGAUUGGGAAGAUGUUGCAUAUGAGCAUGGAGUAAACAAAGUGACUAUGAAAUAAAUUCCAUGCUCAUUAAUGUUAUCUUCAUCUCCAAUCUGAAUGUUCAGAGUUUCUCUUGGAUUGGUCUCACUUAUGUCCUCUUCUAUAGUUGGAUGAAUCUCAUCUUCAAAGGGAGUCAAGAACUCACCAUUUGAAAUUGAGCCAAAGUCAGAAUCUAUUAAGGCUUCUUCCUUAUCCAUCCAUUCUACACAUUCUAGCCAUUUAGAACUUGUGAUCAGGAAAGGGGAGGUGUUAGAAUUUUUAAUAUGGCUUAGCUCUCCUUCACUUGAUAUGUCAUCCUCGACUUCUUCAUAACAGGAAUGAGGACAUUCUCUAAGAGAAACAUUAUUGCAAUGAUUUGAAUUAUCCCUG
rnacentral:lncRNA from 1 species